GACGAACGCUGGCGGCGUGCCUAAUACAUGCAAGUUGAGCGCUGAAGGUUGGUACUUGUACCAACUGGAUGAGCAGCGAACGGGUGAGUAACGCGUGGGGAAUCUGCCUUUGAGCGGGGGACAACAUUUGGAAACGAAUGCUAAUACCGCAUAAAGACUUUAAACACAAGUUUUAAGUUUGAAAGAUGCAAUUGCAUCACUCAAAGAUGAUCCCGCGUUGUAUUAGCUAGUUGGUGAGGUAAAGGCUCACCAAGGCGAUGAUACAUAGCCGACCUGAGAGGGUGAUCGGCCACAUUGGGACUGAGACACGGCCCAAACUCCUACGGGAGGCAGCAGUAGGGAAUCUUCGGCAAUGGACGAAAGUCUGACCGAGCAACGCCGCGGGAGUGAAGAAGGUUUUCGGAUCGUAAAACUCUGUUGGUAGAGAAGAACGUUGGUGAGAGUGGAAAGCUCAUCAAGUGACGGUAACUACCCAGAAAGGGACGGCUAACUACGUG
rnacentral:rRNA from 1 species